rnacentral:lncRNA from 1 species
AACAGAUAGACAGAUUAUUGCAGUGCCAUAAGCUUUAUUUCCAUAGAGGAAUGAAUGACAGCCUUUAAACCAGCUAUGAUGGUUCACGCAAGAAGCCCUAUCUAGCCUGUAAUAGUGAAGCACUGUGGAGGUUGGACAAAAAGAACUCAGGAAGAAAUGAAACUCAUUCCAAAUGCGCUGUAUACAGAGAUAACCACACCUUUCAGCUAAAUGCACAACAGCCUGCUAAAGGUCUUUGUACACGAGACAGUGAACUGCACAAAUCAUGA